rnacentral:lncRNA from 1 species
GGAGACACUACAGCUGAUGCCACAGAAAUAAAAGGUCAUAAAACUAUGAAAAUUAUGCUUCAGCAAAUUGUAUAACCUAGAAAAAAAUUGAUGAAUUCCUAGAAACAUACAACUUACCAAGACUGAAUCAUAAAGAAAUAAAAAUUUGCAAUAGACCUAUAAGGGAUUGAAUAAAUAAUUAAAAAUCCCUGAAAAAAGAAAAGCCCUGGGCCAGAUGGCUUCACUAGAGAAUUCUAUCAAAACUUCAAAAAAUUAACAGGAUCUUUCUCAAACUAUUCCAUAAGAUUGAAGAGGAGGGAACACUUCCAAACUAAUUUAUGAAUCUUGCAUUAACCUGACAUAAAAUUCAGUGAAGGACAUGAUAUGAAAACUACUACAAACCAAUAUCUCUGAUGAAUAUUGAUGCAAAAACCUUCAGCAUAAUACUUGCAAACCAAAUUUAACAGCACAUUAAAACGAUUAUAUAACAUGGCUACAUGUGAUUUAUUCCUGGAAUAUAAGAAUGGUUCAACACAGAAAUAAAUCAAUGUAGUAACCUACAUGAACAGAAUGAAGGGAGGAAAAACCAUGAUCACCUCAGUUGAUGCUGAAAAACCAUUUGAUAAAAUUCAAUAUCCUUUCAUGAUUAAAAAAAAAACACUCAACAAACUAGGACUAGAAGGACAUUAACUCAACAUGAUAAGGGCUAUUAUAUGAAAAUCCCACAGUAAACAUCAUGCUCAACUGUGAAAAAUUACACGUUUUUAUUCUAAGUUCAGGAAAAAGGCAAGAAUGUGCUCUUACAACUAGUAUUUCAAAUCCUGGCCAGAGUAUUUAGGCAACAAAAAUAAAUAACAAGCAUCCAAAUUAUAAAGGAAAAAGUGAAAUGAUCUCUGUUGGCAGAUGACAUAUUCUUAUAUGUAGAAAAACCUAAAGAUUACACACACACACACACACACACACACACACACACACAGAGAGAGAGAGAGAGAGAGAGAGAGAGGGAGACAGAGAGAAAAGAGAGAGAUAACUUAUAAAUGAAUUGAGCAAAGUUGCAGUAUACAAAAUCAAUAAACAAAAAUCAGCGGCAUUUCUAUAUACUAACAGUGGAUAAUCUUAAUAGGAAAUUAAGAAAAUACUCUAAUUUACAAUAGCAUCAAAAAACAUAAAAUAUUUAGGAAUAAACUUAACCUAGGAUGUGAAAGACAUGGACACUAGAAACUACCAAAUACUACUGAAAAAAUUAAAGAUGACAAAAAUAAAUGGGAAGACAUUUACUUGUAUCCAUCAUGGGUUGGAAGACUUAAUAUUGUUAAAAUCUGCAUGCUCUCCAAAGUGUUAUACAGAUUCAAUGCAAUCUCUAUCAAAAUCACAGAGGCAUUUUUAACAGACAUAGAAAAAAUAUAUCCUAAACGUCAUGGUCUCUGGGUUGCUGAAACAAUCUUGAUAAAGAAAAACAAAGCAAGAGGUCUCAUAUUUCCUAAUUUUGAAACAUAUUAUGAUGCUACAAUAAUUAAGGCAGCAUGGCACUUGAAUAAAAACAGACAUAUAGACUAAUGGAAUUAGUUUAUUAGUGAAUGAGCUUCUCUAGUGCUUUUCUUCUUCUAGGAUAUAUUCAUUCAGGUUCAUGUGGUUGUGCUUCCCUGGGCACUCAAGAUUCGAUUAAUAUGGUCAAGGCCCUUUCUUUCAUUAAUUUAUUUUAUUUUUGGAGACAGAGUCUUGCUCUGUCACCCAGGCUGGAGUGCAGUGGCACAAUCUCGGCUCACUGUAACCUCUACCUCUCGGGUUCAAGCUAUUCUCAUGCCUCAGCCUUCCAAGUGCUGGGAUUACAGACAUGCCCCACCACACCUGGCUAAUUUUGUGUGUGUGUGUGUGUGUGUUUGUGUGUGUGUGUUUGUGUGUGUGUGUGUGUGUGUGUGUGUGUGUUUUAAUAGAGACGGGGUUUCACCAUGUUGGCCAAGCUGGUCUGGAACUCUUGAGCUCAAGUGAUCCGCCCGCCUAGCCUCCCAAAGUGCUGGGAUUACAGGUGUGAGCUACCCGACCCAGUCCAUUAUUUUGUUACUGGAGAAAUAUAGCACUUCUCAGGCUUUACCAAUACCCCUAAGAGGAAUUUCAUUAUUUUUUUUCAGGUGCAUGUGGGUGUGGAAAUUUUAAUAUCAAAAUAAUGUUAUUUCCUUAGUAUCACAUCACUCACAAGGUAUUUAUCACAUCAAGUUAUUCCGUAAGUGUAGGCUCAUCAAAUCCUGAUGAUUUUGGAACUCUUUUCCCAAGGAGGGCCUUGCUUCUUUGUUGCCAAAAUAAUAAAUGCCCCUGACCCUUGCUCUUGCCCCUAGAGUUUUGUGUGAAGGAGUAUUUGCUCCCAGUGGUGACCCCCUCAUCUCCUGACCCAGAUCCUAGGUACCAAAAGUCUCAACACCCCUAGAAGGCUGAUUGCAAAGGUUUGUUUUGUCUAAGUAGGUAAAGGAAUUAUCCUAUUGUGAUUAUUUUAUCUUUAGUAGUUAAAUAAUUUUAACUUUGCCAAGUACAGCUUUUAUUCUUCAACUGUUUUGCUAUCUUCAACUCUUUUAAACUAUGGAACAGUUUUAUGCUUGAAAUUUCUGAGCUAGGCACAAAAGACUCAAAGGUAAUGUUUCUCUUCAGAGGCUCAUAUUACAGAAAAUGGUGACCCUCAGUUGUUCACCAGUUCAGCGUGAUCUGUUAAAGUUCUUUGCUCCUCUGUCUAUGUGAAACUUUGAUCGUGCAGGGCAGUGAGCUCCCAUGCUAUCAUGUUAAACAGUCAUAGCCAUCUUUCCUUUACUGAUUGAUUUGUGAUUCUUCAUUUUAAAUUUAAACCUCAACAACAAAUGAAUUUUUAGAACGCCUUUUUAACGUAGUGGUUUACUGGGCAAAGUUUGUCUUGCUGCUACCACAUUACAUUCUAAUUCACUAUGAAGUCACACAAACAAAGGGAAAUAAAAGAAAGGCAAAAGAGCCGCAGUGGUUUUCUUUAUAAUUUCCAGAUUUUGUGGUUUUCUUGUCUCUUGUUUCAACUUUUCUAGAAAGUAGUACUUGACAGUUGUUUGUAGGCAGAAAGAAAACAGAAGCCAUUCUGACUGUCAUGAAAGUGAAAGAAGGGAAGUGACUUUCCCCUGACUAAUUGCAAAGUGUAAGUUAGCAAAAUUCAAUGCAGCAAAAAUUGAGGACUAGAGCCUCUGGCAGAGUGAAAACAUAACGCCAAUGUUGAGGUGCACAAAGGCAGAAAAAUGGCUGCAUCUGCCAGAGGUUCUAAGAAAAGCAAUUCCUGGGUCAAUGGACUGAAUUCAGCUUUCCAAGACCAGCUACUUGACUUUCUUUCAUAUAAUUCACAUGUGAUCAGCUCUAGACAGAAGGGAGAAGUCACACCAAUCAAUUCCCAAAAGCCUGUAAGCAGGCUGCAGUCGCUAGACAACCAACAAAGUUGUCUGGCAGGAUAAUGCAUAUUAGCCUUGCCUAAAGACUCCACCUAGUUAAUAAAUUUACUCAGGCAAUGAAAACAUAGCCUUGAGAAACCAGGAAUUAAUGGAAGAGAAUUGGAUGAUCCCAAAAGAUUCUAUUUUAAUCUGGAUGAUAAUAUCAAAAAUGAUAACACCAACAUUUAUUGCAGGCCUAAUAGGGACCAUCCACUGUUUUAAGAUUUUCCUUUUUGAGACUGGGUGUCACUCUGUCACCCAGGCUGGAGUGCAGUGGUGUGAUCCCUGCUUACUGCAGCUUGACCUCCUGGGCUCAAGCAAUACUUCUACCUCAGCCUCCUGAGUAACUGGGACCACAAGCAGGCAUGACCACAUAUGGCUAAUUUUUUGUAGAGACCAGGUUUCACCAUGUUGUCUAGACUGGUCUUGACCUCCUGGGCUCAAGCAAUCCUCCUGCCUCAGCCUCCUAAUAUGCUGGGAUUACAGGCAUCAGCCACUGUGCCAGGCUGUUUUAUGAUGUUUUGAAAAUACUAUCUCUGUCCUCUCAAUAACACUAUUUGGAUUAUACUCUUUUAUAAAACUAUUGGGAGAGAAAUAUAAAUCUGCAGGGAUGAACUAUUCUGACCACACCAAUAAUGCAAGGUCGAAACCUUAGGGAGAAUCAUUAUAAUGGCUUGACUGGAAGGACCCAUUAAAGGAAGGGGGGAUAGAUAUGAAUUUAUCAACCAAGGAGAGACCAGGGCAUAAAAUCAAUACAGCAGAGAGGGUGAGAUGACAAAGGAUUCUGAGAUUCAUUUUGAAUGCCAAACAUUUGCUCGUGCUGUAUAGAGCAACAGGGGGUGUGGUGUAAGUGAAUUGAAUUAACUGCCUUUAAGUUCUAAGGAAAAGUAGACUAAAUAUAUUCCUUUUUUUUUUUUUUCCUUUUUUGAGACAGAGUCUCACUCUGUCGCUCAGGCAAUGGCGACAUCUUGGCUCACUGCAACCUCCACAGCCUGGGUUCAAGCGAUUCUCAUACCUCAGCCUCCUAAGUAGCUGGGAUCACAGGCACCUGCCACCAUGCCCAGCUAAUUUUUGUAUUUUUAGUAGAGACAGGAUUUCACCAUAUUGGCCAGGCUGGUCUCGAACUUCUGGCCUCUAGUGAUCUGCCUCAGCCUCCCAAAGUGCUGAGAUUACAGGCAUGAGCCAUCAUCAAGUGAAAAAAUAAUUAGUGAUGUAUUCAAAAAUAUACUAAAACAACUCUAUUAACCCAUCAACUACAAACUCCUGGAAGCCAAUUUAUUUUUUUACUCUUGAGUUUUUUUAUGUAUUAAGAAUAAAGAAAAAGCAAUGAACAAUUUCCAGGACAGCCCAGCAGUACAUGCUCUGAUUUUUUGCUCCUUCAGGACUCACAGGUCAGCCUCCCCAUCAAACAUGUAAACUAUAGAGAUGUAAGAUGUCCCCACCAAACAUCUAAACUGUAUAGCAUCUAAGCAGCCUAAGGCUUUCACCAGAUGCCCAGCACUUUGGGAGGCAGAGGCAGAUGGAUCACUUGGGCUCAGGAGUUCAAGACCAGCCUGGCCAACAUGGUGAAACCCCG